CCAGCACCUCCAUCCAUACCCCAUUUAUGGGUCUCAUAGGAGAUCUACAUCAGGACCACAUUUUUCUUCUGUAGUCGGCAUGUUUUCAUGAAAGUCAGAAGAUCAUUCAUAAGAGGAGAGAGUAGCUGAUGGAUUUCACUUCAAACCUUUAUAAUUAAAAACAUACAGGCUUCAGGAGAACAUAGCCGCACCAUGAUGGUGGUUCUGGGAUCUGAUCAGUUCCCAUGCAACACAAAUUACACCAUGAAAUGCUGCAGAAGAAAUAAAGUGCAUGCAUAGACCUGCCCCGGAGGUAACCUAUGAUUGCCAGCAAAGAAGCCUGACCUAUACCAAUACACCAUCAGAACCCCCUUUAGGGCUUUCAUUAAACUAAGGGUCC